AUACCUUUCUCGGCCUUUUGGCUAAGAUCAAGUGUAGUAUCUGUUCUUAUCAGUUUAAUAUCUGAUACGUGAUCCAUUGGAUCACACGAUAUUAAAUUUAUUUUUUGAGUGGGAGAGUCCAUCACAGCAGCUUGCUACUGGGGCUCUCGAUCGUUGCCCUGGUUUUGCACUAUUGCUUGGCCUGGCGAACCACAC
rnacentral:snRNA from 1 species